CCCAUGGGGGCGCCACGGGCCACGUGACCUGGCAGGCCGGGAGGGGAGGAGGGGGAAAGGGGGGGACGGGACUCGCUGCCCCUCCUGGGGAACCCCGGUGGCGCGGCCCUGCUGGUCAGGACCACCCGGGCCGGAAGCCGGGGAGCGGAAACUGGCAAAAGUGGUGCGGGCGGACAAUACGGCCUCGCUUUCUCUGGUCCCUGGGUCUGGACAACAGGUGCUCGGCCUGCUCGAGUACUCGGUACUUGGGUACUCACACCCAAAGCGAGCACGGAGUCCCCAGGAAUCACUUGCUCUAAUUUUCACCCUUGGAGUCUGACUGCACACCCAUUAGAAACGUUCCAGCGAGUGGUGCCUCCAGCCCCAAGCGCACUCACCC